UCACUACAAGUACAAGUCUCCGCCACCACCUGCACAUUAUCCCGCACCAAAAUAUCACUACAAGUACAAGUCUCCGCCACCACCACCACCAGCCACGCAUCAUUAUUACUUUAAUUCACCUCCCCCUCACCACUACUAAGAUGAAGUGUCCUCAUUGCCGAACAAGAUGAGGUAAUAUUAAUGGCGUACGUGCAUGAUGUUUUCGAUAUAUCUAUGGGAUCAAUAUAUGAUGAUGUAAGGCAUCUAAUUUUCAUUUUAUGUAUCAAUAAUUUGUUCACAAUCAAUAAAAUUUUGUUAUGUGUUCAGCGUGAUCAGAUACUAAUUAAUAUUUCAUGUUUGAUCUCACGAGGAGUGUGAUAUAAAAUUCA
rnacentral:lncRNA from 1 species